rnacentral:rRNA from 1 species
ACGAACGCUGGCGGGCGUGGAUAAGACAUGCAAGUCGAACGGAAUAGCUUGGUAGCAAUAUUAAGCUAUUUAGUGGCGAACGGGUGCGUAACACGUUGGGUCACAUUCCGGGAAGUGGAGAAUAGCCCAGGGAAACUUGGAUUAAUGCUCCAUGUGGUCGCAAGACUAAAGGCGCAAGCCGCUUCCUGAUUGGCCCGCGGCCUAUCAGCUAGUUGGUGGGGUAAUGGCCCACCAAGGCUACGACGGGUAGCUGGUCUAAGAGGACGACCAGCCACACUGGAACUGAGACACGGUCCAGACACCUACGGGUGGCAGCAGUCGAGAAUCUUUCACAAUGGGGGAAACCCUGAUGGAGCGACGCCGCGUGGAGGAUAAGGUCUUCGGAUUGUAAACUCCUGUCAUGCGAGAACAAAGCCUCACGGCCUGAUAGUAUCGCAAGAGGAAGAGACGGCUAACUCUGUGCCAGGCAGCCGCGGUAAUACAGAGGUCUCAAGCGUUGUUCGGAAUCACUUGGGCGUAAAGGGUGCGUAGGCGGCGCGGAAAGUCAGAUGUGAAAUCCGGAGGCUCAACCUCCGAAUUGCAUCCGAUACUCCAGCCGCUAGAGAAUUGUAGAGGAGCUUGGAAUUCUCGGUGUAGCAGUGAAAUGCGUAGAUAUCGAGAAGAACGCUCGCAGCGAAGGCGAAGCUCUGGGCAAUUUCUGACGCUGAUGCACGAAGGCUAGGGGAGCAAACGGGAUUAGAUACCCCGGUAGUCCUAGCUGUAAACGGUGCGCGCUUGGUAUGGCGGGGCUCGACCCCUGCCGUGCCGGAGCUAACGCGUUAAGCGCGCCGCCUGGGAAGUACGGUCGCAAGAUUAAAACUCAAAGAAAUUGACGGGGACCCGCACAAGCGGUGGAGUAUGUGGCUUAAUUCGAUGCAACGCGAAGAACCUUACCUGGCCUGACAUGCACUGUGUCUCCUGCGAAAGCAGGAUAGCGUAGCAAUACGCGCUCUGCACAGGUGCUGCAUGGCUGUCGUCAGCUCGUGUCGUGAGAUGUUGGGUUAAGUCCCGCAACGAGCGCAACCCUCGUUGGCGUUGUUGCCCCCGGCGAAAGCCGAGCACUCAAGCAGACUGCCCAGAUAAACUGGGAGGAAGGUGGGGAUGACGUCAAGUCCGUAUGGCCCUUACGGCCAGGGCUGCACACGUACUACAAUGUCCAAUACAAAGUGUUCCGAACCCGCAAGGUCAAGGCAAUCACCAAAAUUGGACUCAGUUCAGAUUGCAGGCUGCAAUUCGCCUGCAUGAAGCUGGAAUCGCUAGUAACGGCACAUCAGCUACGGUGCCGUGAAUACGUUCCCGGGUCUUGUACACACCGCCCGUCACAUCAUGGAAGCCCGCUUCGCCUGAAGGGCGCGCCAGUAACCGCAAGGAUCGGCCGCACAAAGGCAAAGCUAGUAACUAGGAUG